AGCAGCCGCGGUAAUUCCAGCUCCAAUAGCGUAUAUUAAAGUUGUUGCAGUUAAAAAGCUCGUAGUUGAAUUUCGGGGUUAGUAGGUUGGUCAUGCCUCUGGUAUGUACUGGUCUCACUGAUUCCUCCUUCCUGAUGAACCGUAAUGCCAUUAAUUUGGUGUUGCGGGGAAUUUGGACUGUUACUUUGAAAAAUUAGAGUGUUUAAAGCAGGCGCACGCUUGAAUACAUUAGCAUGGAAUAAUGAAAUAGGACGUUUGAUUCUAUUUUGUUGGUUUCUAGGAUCGACGUAAUGAUUAAUAGGGAUAGUUGGGGGCAUUAGUAUUCAAUUGUCAGAGGUGAAAUUCUUGGAUUUAUUGAAGACUAACUACUGCGAAAGCAUUUGCCAAGGAUGUUUUCAUUAAUCAAGAACGAAAGUUAGGGGAUCGAAGACGAUCAGAUACCGUCGUAGUCUUAACCAUAAACUAUGCCGACUAGGGAGCGGAUGAUGUUAAUUUUUUAAUGACUCAUUCGGCGCCUUAA
rnacentral:rRNA from 1 species